AGCAGCCGCGGUAAUUCCAGCUCCAAUAGCGUAUAUUAAAGUUGUUGCAGUUAAAAAGCUCGUAGUUGAACUUCGAGAUUCGUCCAUUGGUCAGGCUUAACUGUCCGUACUGAUGUUUCGGAUUUCUACCUUCUGAAGAACCUUCAUGCCAUUAAUUUGGUGUGUUGGGGAAUCAGGACUAUUACUUUGAAAAAAUUAGAGUGUUUAAAGCAGGCUAACGUCUGAAUACAUUAGCAUGGAAUAAUGAAAUAGGACGGUACGGUUCUAUUUUGUUGGUUUCUAGGAUCGCCGUAAUGAUUAAUAGGGAUAGUUGGGGGCAUUAGUAUUCAAUUGUCAGAGGUGAAAUUCUUGGAUUUAUUGAAGACUAACUACUGCGAAAGCAUUUGCCAAGGAUGUUUUCAUUAAUCAAGAACGAAAGUUAAGGGAUCGAAGACGAUCAGAUACCGUCGUAGUCUUAACCAUAAACUAUGCCGACUAGGGAUUGGACGAUGUUAAUUUUUAAAUUGUACUCGUUCUAGCA
rnacentral:rRNA from 1 species